rnacentral:rRNA from 1 species
GAUGAACGCUGGCGGCGUGCCUAAUACAUGCAAGUCGAGCGAACAGACGAGGAGCUUGCUCCUCUGACGUUAGCGGCGGACGGGUGAGUAACACGUGGAUAACCUACCUAUAAGACUGGGAUAACUUCGGGAAACCGGAGCUAAUACCGGAUAAUAUAUUGAACCGCAUGGUUCGAUAGUGAAAGACGGUUUUGCUGUCACUUAUAGAUGGAUCCGCGCCGCAUUAGCUAGUUGGUAAGGUAACGGCUUACCAAGGCGACGAUGCGUAGCCGACCUGAGAGGGGGGACGGCCACAAUGGGAACGAGAACACGGCCAGGACCCCACCGGAGGGAGCAGGAGGGAAUCUUCCGGCAAGGGCGGAAGCCUGGACGAGGCAAGGCGGGUGGGGGAUGAAGGUUUUCGGAUUGUAAAACCUUGUUAAUAGGGGAGAAAAAAUGUGUAAGUAAAUAAGGCAGUCUUGAAGGUAACUAAAUAGAAAGGCAAGGCUAAAUACGUGC